AACAUUGCAGACAGAAUGGAAGCCCCACUGGUCCUUCCCCAGGCCCUACAUCCUAACCUUUUUCUAAGACAGUCUCAGCUAUAAAUUUGGUUUUCCUGCAUACGGGUAGAGGAGAGUAAUGGCCAACCCUGAAAUGAAAUGCCUGCGUCCCAGGUGGGCGAUAUUUCCAUUUCAGUUAAAGCUGCGGGGUCACCACCACUGCUAUUUUCCCCCGAAAUACCUCCUAGCACCUUGAGAUGGCACAGCUAAGCACCAGCACAUACCGUAGGACACCUGCUCUGUGCCUGCUGAGUUGGCUCUGGGGAAUGACAGGAAACAGAACCAGCCAAGGCCCUGUAAGACAAACUUACACACAGCACGUUUUCAGAAUCCGAUGAGAAAAGGAUCAUACAAGAGUGGAGUGGAAAAGAGGAGAGGCUUCAUGAAACAGAGAUGACUGGGGUUGGGUCCUGUGGAAGUUGUCAGCCCCGGUGGGCAGGUUUCCAGACAGAAUGACUAGGGUUCUGGCACCUGGGAGAGAAGAGUCGCCUAACUUCGUGAGAGCACACGUAUGCAAAAGGCUGAAUAAAUAUGAGUCCACUAGAUGAAAGAAAUAGAAUAGGCAAAUCUGCAGAGACAGAAAAUAGACUGUGGCUGCCUAGGGUUGAGGGGGUGCUAAAGGGCUUCUUGUUGGGUGAUAAAGUUUUCUAAAAUUAGAUCAAGAUGAUGGCUACCUUAAAUAUGCUAAAUAUACCAAAACCAUUGAACUUGCACUGUACAUGGAUGACUUAUAUGGUAUGUAAUCACAUCUCCAAAAAGUUGUUAAAAAAAGAAUCUAGUCACAGCAUUAUAAACAUAGAAUGAUACAACCUAUAGGAAAGUCAGAAUCUGGCAACAUUAAAAAAUAUAUUAAUUAGGAAUAGGUGACAAAACUAUGCAGAAACUAAGGGAAUAGAGUCAAUCAUGCUGCAAUAACUUUGCAUGGUGACAGAUGGUAACUAGACUUAUUGUGGGGUUCAUUUCCUAAUAUAUAAAAAUGUCAAAUUGCUAUGAUGUAUGCCUGAAACUAAUAGGCUAUUUUAUGUCAAUUACACUUCAAUAAAAAAAAAGAGAAAUCAAGAGAAUGAUUCUGCAAAUGUCAGGGAAGUGUUGGUUCUGAGGCAAGAGGGAAAUGGCUGAGGGGGGAAUGCACGGAAGUCAGUAGCUGACUUACAGACUUGACCUAUCUGUCUUACCAUGAGUAGUGGUUUCACAAGUGUGGCCUUAUAAAAAUAAUUUGUACAUCUAUUAGGAGCACUCUUUUUGAAUAUAUGCCAUGUUUCAAAAUAAAGAAAGAAAAAGGGGAGGAGGAGGCCAAAUGAGAGAUGCGACCAGAGUACUUGGGGACUCACUGUACAGGGUCCAGAGUCCCAGGUGAGCCAUUGGCACUUAACAAAGGAGGUGAUGGAGGGAGCCAGCGAAGGUAUCUGAGCCGGCAGCCAGGCUGACAAAAGAGGUAGUUGAGGAAGGCAUCCAGGCUCUGUAGGCAGAUGGAUGGAGCAAGGAGUGGCCUGAGGUGGGGAGAAGCCCCAGGGGUGAUGAGAACAUAACUGAGCAUGUGCAGUGUGUCAGUGGAGGAGCAGGGCCAGGGGAGAGGGUGAGGAUCCCGGUGCAGAAACUGAAGAUUUUGAAGUAGCAGAGUGAUAAGAUCAGUUUCUACUUGUGCCUAAGGAGCAUUUACAGUGUGCCAAGAGUCCUUCAAUCUUUUCCUGUAUUUUACCUCAUUUAAUCUUUUCAGUGCUUCUCGGAGGGAAGGUGUAGAGGUGAUCUGUUCACCCAACUAUCUUUCCAUCAUCCAUCCAUGUAACCAGUCAUCUAUCCAUCCAACAACUUUUUAAAAAGUGGAAGACAGCUUUGUGCUAGUCGUUCUGUUCAUGUUCUUCAGGCGGAGAAGAAAAUGGCAGGGUCCUCACUCCUAGAAGGUCAAAUCAAUUCCUUAAAGGCUGCAACUAGGAAAAGGCUUGGCCAGGAUUCCUGUCCAGGAAGGCAGAGUCCGGGGCCUGGGCUUUUCCACUGGGCCAGAGGCAUUGUUCAGUUUUCCUCUCGAGAUGGAACUACAGGUUCUGGGUGGAAUCUAAAAGUAAGAUCAGCCAUUUUGAAGUAGGAAUUGAUGUUGAGUAAGCUGAGGGCGUUGAUGAGGCCAGUACAGAUGAGGUGAAUAGGAUAAAAGGCAAAUAUGCAAAUGGCUUGGCAGACCUGGUUACCUGCUAUUUCUCUGCUUUCUUUCUUGCUAACAGAACUCUGAUUUUGUGGGGGCAAAGUGUGGGGGAGCCACGAUUUAUCCAGCUCCCAGGGAUGAAUUGUGAUUGGAUUAAGCCAGUCAUGGCUAAGCUAAUUCCAUUUGCGAGGCACUCACUUUUGCUGCCACCUUUGCAGCUCUUUUAGGGGCUGUAUGACCAAGUUUCAGUCACUGAGAUGAAGGGGAGAUCUGUUGAGAGCUUGUAAAAAAUAUCUUUGAUUCCUCUGAUGUAAGACAGGAGCAUUAGCCCUCUGUAUCUGGCUGCCUCACCGCAUCCUGACUUUGAAUGAAGCCAUAAUUCCUGGGGCUGUGGCAGCCAUCUUGUGAUGAUGAAGCAACAGACACAAAGACAAAAAGCCAACAAAUAGAGGGAGGCAGGGUGGAAAGAGCUGAGUUCUUAAUGAGCUUGAGCAGCUAAACAAAAGGCAGCAAUGGCUUCCCUCCAGAGUUCUUAAUAUGUGAAAAAAGGAACCCCCUAGGAAUUUACAUUUUUUCAUUAGCUCUAAAUGACCAUGGGCUAACUGCUGUAAUAAGCACAGCAAGAAAGAGACAGGAAGGAGAGGAUAAUUUAUUUGGAGCAUAGGGUGAUAUGUAGGGCACCAGUAGGGAACAUUGCUUUAUUUUCUAACUAUGUGUUGUAAAUCUUGAAGACAGAGUCACCUUUCCUUUUCUGUUUUUUUUUUCCACGUCCCAUUUGUACUCACCUAACCUCUCACCUUUCCUUUAGCCCACAUUAAGCCCAUGUGCCCCAUGACUAUGGGUUUGGUACAAAGAAAGUUUACCUUUGUUGAUUCUCAUUUAUCAAGCUAUGGAAAAAAUUCCAGGGCAGAGGGCGGAGACCUACAGUCUUCCAUUGUGCACUGGAGGUCUUUUACAGAUGCUUGGCUUACCAAUUUGUUUAGUGCCCAGAAGGGAGGCUGGUAGUUUAGAAAUUUACAUGGUUCUUUGAGAAGGAAAAAGACCUGGAGCAGAAAAUGUCCUGAAAGAACUUGGAGCGGGGAGGAGGGCAGUUGUAAAAAUAAAAUGACAAAGACAAUAGAAGAAAGGGAAAGAAAGGAUGAAAGAGUCUUUUGUAUCACUGUGGCAUUUCAGUGCACUAACAAGUUAUCCUCAGUAAAGCCCCCCAUCACCCACCACCCCCUCCUACUUAACACACACUUUCUGCCCAAAUCCCAACGGUGGACUGAUGUCUCUAUCAGUGAAGAUAUAUUUCUGAGAUAUCUAAUUUUUUUUACAUUAAAUAUGUA